rnacentral:rRNA from 1 species
ACUCAAAUGAAUUGACGGGGGCCCGCACAAGCGGUGGAGCAUGUGGUUUAAUUCGACGCAACGCGAAGAACCUUACCUGGGCUCGAACGGCUGCCGGCGGCUGGUGGAAACACCGGCUUUCCCGCAAGGGACGGUAGUCGAGGUGCUGCAUGGCUGUCGUCAGCUCGUGUCGUGAGAUGUUGGGUUAAGUCCCGCAACGAGCGCAACCCUUGUCCUGUUUUGGCAUGCUCGCAAGAGCGCAACUAUCAGGAGACCGCCAGCGAUAAGCUGGAGGAAGGUGGGGAUGACGUCAAGUCAUCAUGGCCUUUAUGUCCAGGGCUACACACGUGCUACAAUGGGCGGUACAAAGCGCUGCCAACCCGCGAGGGGGAGCUAAUCGCAAAAAACCGUCCUCAGUUCGGAUCGCAGGCUGCAACUCGCCUGCGUGAAGCUGGAAUCGCUAGUAAUGGUAUAUCAGAACGAUACCGUGAAUACGUUCCCGGGCCUUGUACACACCGCCCGU